AGUGAACGCUGGCGGUAGGCCUAACACAUGCAAGUCGAACGGCAGCACAGUAAGAGCUUGCUCUUACGGGUGGCGAGUGGCGGACGGGUGAGGAAUACAUCGGAAUCUACUUUUUCGUGGGGGAUAACGUAGGGAAACUUACGCUAAUACCGCAUACGACCUACGGGUGAAAGCAGGGGAUCUUCGGACCUUGCGCGAUUGAAUGAGCCGAUGCCGGAUUAGCUAGUUGGCGGGGGAAAGGCCCACCAAGGCGACGAUCCGUAGCUGGUCUGAGAGGAUGAUCAGCCACACUGGAACUGAGACACGGUCCAGACUCCUACGGGAGGCAGCAGUGGGGAAUAUUGGACAAUGGGCGCAAGCCUGAUCCAGCCAUACCGCGUGGGUGAAGAAGGCCUUCGGGUUGUAAAGCCCUUUUGUUGGGAAAGAAAAGCAGCAGGUUAAUACCCCGCUGUUCUGACGGUACCCAAAGAAUAAGCACCGGCUAACUUCGUG
rnacentral:rRNA from 1 species